CCUACACUCAUUUUGAAUGCUUCGAACACAAGACAUUUGGCUUGACCGUUUGGGGUAUUCACCUUUAUCCAUAUUCUUUAGUGCAGUCCGAAAUCAAUAACACUUUAUAAAAAAACAUAAAAAACAACUCAACACAUUUAAACCUUUUGUUUGAACCUUAGGGCAUCACAAUCUAAAACCCUUCUUCAAGGUAAUAAAAUCAACAAAACAAACCAAACAAUUUCAAACCUACAAACUACGAAGACU
rnacentral:lncRNA from 1 species